rnacentral:rRNA from 1 species
AACGAACGCUGGCGGCAUGCCUAACACAUGCAAGUCGAACGAGAUCUUCGGGUCUAGUGGCGCACGGGUGCGUAACGCGUGGGAAUCUGCCCUUUGGUUCGGAAUAACAGUUGGGAACGACUGCUAAUACCGGAUGAUGACGAAAGUCCAAAGAUUUAUCGCCAGAGGAUGAGCCCGCGUAGGAUUAGCUAGUUGGUGUGGUAAAGGCGCACCAAGGCGACGAUCCUUAGCUGGUCUGAGAGGAUGAUCAGCCACACCGGGACUGAGACACGGCCCAGACUCCUACGGGAGGCAGCAGUGGGGAAUAUUGGACAAUGGGCGAAAGCCUGAUCCAGCAAUGCCGCGUGAGUGAUGAAGGCCUUAGGGUUGUAAAGCUCUUUUACCCGGGAUGAUAAUGACAGUACCGGGAGAAUAAGCUCCGGCUAACUCCGUGCCAGCCGCCGCGGUAA